rnacentral:misc_RNA from 1 species
AAAGUCGUAACAAGGUUUCCGUAGGUGAACCUGCGGAAGGAUCAUUAUUGAAUCCUUAGGAUGUUGCUGGCCUUUCGGGGCAUGUGCACUCCGCCUUUCAAUACACCUGUGAACUUAUUGUAGGUGGCAUAUACAUGUCACCUAUGUUUUUACAAACCCCAUACAAGUUAUUGAAUGUCUAAUGAUGGCUUUGGCCAAUAAACAUUAAUACAACUUUCAACAAUGGAUCUCUUGGUUCUC